rnacentral:rRNA from 1 species
AGCAGCCGCGGUAAUUCCAGCUCCAAUAGCGUAUAUUAAAGUUGUUGCAGUUAAAAAGCUCGUAGUUGAAUUUCGGGAUUAGUACGCUGGUCGUGCCUUCGGUAUGUACUGGUGUUACUGGUUCCUACCUUCUGACGAACCGUCAUGUCAUUAAUUUGGUGUGGCGGGAAAUCAGGACUGUUACUUUGAAAAAAUUAGAGUGUUUAAAGCAGGCUCGCGCUUGAAUACAUUAGCAUGGAAUAAUGAAAUAGGACGUUCGAUCCUAUUUUGUUGGUUUCUAGGAUUGACGUAAUGAUUAAUAGGGAUAGUUGGGGGCAUUAGUAUUCAAUUGUCAGAGGUGAAAUUCUUGGAUUUAUUGAAGACUAACUACUGCGAAAGCAUUUGCCAAGGAUGUUUUCAUUAAUCAAGAACGAAAGUUAGGGGAUCGAAGACGAUCAGAUACCGUCGUAG